rnacentral:rRNA from 1 species
GACGAACGCUGGCGGCGUGCUUAACACAUGCAAGUCGAACGGUAAGGCCCUUCGGGGUACACGAGUGGCGAACGGGUGAGUAACACGUGGGUGAUCUGCCCUGCACUUCGGGAUAAGCCUGGGAAACUGGGUCUAAUACCGGAUAGGACCACUGCCUGCAUGGGUGGUGGUGGAAAGCUUUUGCGGUGUGGGAUGGGCCCGCGGCCUAUCAGCUUGUUGGUGGGGUGAUGGCCUACCAAGGCGACGACGGGUAGCCGGCCUGAGGGGGUGACCGGCCACACUGGGACGGAGAUACGGGCCAGACUCCUACGGGAGGCAGCAGUGGGGAAUAUUGCACAAUGGGCGCAAGCCUGAUGCAGCGACGCCGCGUGAGGGAUGACGGCCUUCGGGUUGUAAACCUCUUUCAGCACCGACGAAGCGCAAGUGACGGUAGGUGCAGAAGAAGGACCGGCCAACUACGCGCCAGCCGCCGCGGUAA